UAGCAGCGAUUGUCUCUCGAUUUUGAAGGAAGGCGGGGAGAAGCGGGUGGGUCGUACUGCUCGCGCUGCCCCUGGUCCAUCUCGAGUGAGUCCACCCCCUGGAGGAGGCCAACCCGUGACCGAUUCUGGCUUCGGCGUCCUGAUGAGCUGCUUUGUUACGUGUUGUCCAAAUUUUUACGCGGGUUUUUGAGGUUUACCCCCCAUGCUACACUGUUUUGCGAAGUGCGCCCUGAAAAUAUGUGCGCUGUCGCUUUAAGAUCCCUCAGCUAGUCUGCUUCGUAUUGAUCAAUCCACCAUUUUCCAACACACAGCACACUCCGCGGCAGUGGUAACGCAGCGACGGCGGCAGCAGAAAGCCCUACCUGGAGACACCAGGACCCGGGGCAGUCAUGGCAGCCAACAUGUAUCGGGUCGGAGAUUAUGUAUAUUUUGAAAACUCCUCCAGUAACCCCCUGCUCAUCAGGCGAAUAGAAGAACUCAACAAGACGGCGAACGGGAAUGUGGAGGCCAAGGUGGUGUGUUUCUACAGACGCAGAGACAUCUCCAGCACACUGAUCGCCCUGGCCGACAAACAUGCACGUGAGAUGGAGGAGGAGAUGGAGAACCCCGAGGUCCUGGACCUGCCAGAGAAGCACAAGCACCAGCUACGCCACCGAGAGCUCUUCCUGUCACGCCAACUGGAGUCCCUACCCGCCACUCACAUCAGGGGAAAGUGCUGUGUGACACUCCUAAAUGAAACUGAGGCACUGAAGUCCUACCUGGACAGGGAGGAUGCCUUCUUCUACUCCCUGGUGUAUGACCCUCAGCAGAAGACGCUGUUGGCUGAUAAAGGAGAGAUCCGCGUCGGGACCAAGUACCAGGCUGACAUCACAGACCUGAUGGCAGAAGGGGAAGAGGAUGGCAGAGACCUGACCAAACUGGAAGAGAAGGUCUGGGACCCCACUAGCUCACUCACAGAGAAACAGAUCGACCAGUUUUUAGUGGUGGCACGGUCUGUGGGGACGUUUGCGAGGGCCCUGGACUGCAGCAGUUCUGUGCGGCAACCCAGCCUGCAUAUGAGCGCGGCAGCCGCCUCCAGAGAUAUCACACUGUUCCACGCCAUGGACACGCUGCAUAAGAAUGGCUACGACAUGACGCGGGCCAUCGCGGCGCUGGUGCCCCAAGGCGGGCCGGUGCUGUGCCGCGACGAGAUGGAGGAGUGGAGCGCCUCCGAGGCCAACCUCUUCGAAGAGGCGCUCGAGAAGUACGGCAAGGACUUUGCCGACAUCCAGCAGGACUUCCUUCCCUGGAAGUCCCUGACCAGUAUUAUUGAGUAUUACUACAUGUGGAAGACCACAGACAGAUAUGUACAGCAGAAACGGUUAAAAGCGGCUGAGGCUGAGAGCAAGCUGAAGCAGGUCUACAUCCCCAACUAUAACAAGCCCAACCCCAACCAGCUGAGCUCCAACAGUGUGAAGCUGGCUGGCCUGGUGAAUGGUGGAGGGGCGGCGGCAGCAGCAGCGGCGGCGGCAGCAGCUGUAGGGGGGGCAGCUGGAGCAGUGGGAGCAGUGGGGGCAAUGGGAGCAGCCGGAGCAGUGGGGGCGGUGGGAGCAGUUGGGGCGGUGGCCCCAGGUCAGCCUGUGGCGCUGGGACGCGCCUGCGAGAGCUGCUACACCACCACCUCUUACCAGUGGUACUCGUGGGGUCCGCCCAACAUGCAGUGUCGUCUGUGCGCCUCCUGCUGGACGUACUGGAAGAAGUACGGUGGCCUGAAGAUGCCCACGCGACUGGACGGAGAGCGGCCCGGACCCAACCGCAACAACCUGGUCAGUCCAGACUCUCAGCUGCCACCGGGUGCCCACAACCUGACGGUGCGCCACAGUGGCAGCCCCAAGUUUGCGGUGAAGACGAGGCAGGCCUUCUUCCUGCACACGACCAGCCUGACGCGCGCCGCGCGCCGUGUUUGCCAGGACCUGCUGCACUCUCACACCCUGGGCCGACACCCCUACAACCCCAUCAACACCACCGCCAUCAAGACUGAGUGUGUGACGCGGUUGCCAGAGACUCCUAAGAAGCUGCACCCUCUCAAGCCACUGGUGAGGAAGCCCCUGGAGUCAGUGGUCAGAUAUCUAGAGGCCCACCCGUACACCCCCAAGCCGGAGCCCCAGCGCAGCGCCACCAUCCCUACCAGCAGCCUGACGCCCAUCAAAUCCUCGCCCAUCCUCAACAACGGCUCGCCCACCAUCCUGGGCAAACGCAACUACGAGCAGCACAACGGACUGGAAGGCACCAAACCCAAGGCGCUGACCGCUCAGUGGGACAUCAUGUCCAAGCGUGUGUGCGAGCCGAGCCGGGCCGCUGCGUCCCUGCAGGACCAGGUCCACGAGCUGGACUGACACACCCCGCCCCCCCAACACCUCCCCUUUUCACCCUUCCAAGGUGACCGCUGCACCAUACUGCACAGAGACAAGGCCUCAGACAGGAGGCGGCUGAGGGAAGAUGAUGACAUGCUCAGUGUUUUUGACCACCAGUGAGCGAGCAAGCCUGCACUGUCCACUCUGCCAGUCUCUGAGCCAGAGGCCUCCUCGCAGGGGAACCCACCUCCCCUGCGAAUCGUCUCUCCCGAGGUUCUUUGGCUUCUCAACCCAUCAAUAGGACUCGGCUUGUCUGUACAGGACUGUUUAAUCACCAUUCUUAUGAAAAUUAUUAUUGUUAUUAUUAAUUGUUGUUAUUAUGACAAUGUCUGCCAUUGUAAUUAUAUUCUUGUUCCUUUUUUUAUCAGCUGUAAUCAUAUGCUUAUCAGUUUAAUUGUUGGAAACGAAAUUGAAGGAAUGCAAAACAAAACAAAACAUAAAAAGAAAGAAAAAAAUGAAGCCUGUUGAGGCCUCAGUGAACUUUUUAGGUCCUCCUGCAUCAGUUCUACAGUUUUUUUUCGGUUCUGACUUUUUUCCUGUGUUUUAAGGACUGUAAAAAAAAAGAAACGCAAAUGAAAGAGAAAGAGGGGCGUUUUUUUUGUAUGAUUGUCGACUGGAUGAACAUAUAACCCCUUGGCCCUUGUUCUGCUUGCUGUUUUUUUGUUUGGUUACUUUUUUGUUUGUUUUUUCAAGGAAAAGUUCUUUCUUGCACGCUGAUGGAUUUAACUUAUUGAGAAAGACUGAGACGUGCUCUUUUUCUACCUUUUCAUAAAUAAUGCAUCUUCUGCUUUGAUGAUGUCAUUAAAAACAAGACUUAUUUGGUU